UGGGGAAUUUUGGACAAUGGGCGCAAGCCUGAUCCAGCCAUACCGCGUGAGUGAAGAAGGCCUUCGGGUUGUAAAGCUCUUUCAGACGGAAGGAAACGGUUACGGCUAAUACCCGUGACUAAUGACGGUACCGUAAGAAGAAGCACCGGCUAACUACGUGCCAGCAGCCGCGGUAAUACGUAGGGUGCGAGCGUUAAUCGGAAUUACUGGGCGUAAAGCGUGCGCAGGCGGUUUGGUAAGACAGAUGUGAAAUCCCCGGGCUUAACCUGGGAACUGCAUUUGUGACUGCCAGACUAGAGUGUAGCAGAGGGGGGUAGAAUUCCACGUGUAGCAGUGAAAUGCGUAGAUAUCAGGAGGAACACCGGUGGUGUAGACGGCUCUCUGGACAAUCACUGACGCUGAGACACGAAAGCGUGGGGAGCAAACAGGAUUAGAUACCCCUGUAGUCCCUGAGCGGGCUGGCAAGGCGCAU
rnacentral:rRNA from 1 species